rnacentral:rRNA from 1 species
AUUGAACGCUGGCGGCAGGCCUAACACAUGCAAGUCGAACGAGUGGCGGACGGGUGAGUAAUGUCUGGGAAACUGCCUGAUGGAGGGGGAUAACUACUGGGAACGGUAGCUAAUACCGCAUACCAUCGGAUGUGCCCAGCUGGGAUUAGCCAGUAGGUGGGGUAACGGCUCACCUAGGCGACGAUCCCUAGCUGGUCUGAGAGGAUGACCAGCCCCCCUGGAACUGGUACACGGUCCAGACUCCUAUGGGAGGCAGCAGUGGGGAAUAUUGCACAAUGGGCGCAAGCCUGAUGCAGCCAUGCCGCGUGUCUGAAGAAGGCCUUCGGGUUGUAAAGUACUUUCAGCGGGGAGGCGUUACCCGCAGAAGAAGCACCGGCUAACUCCGUGCCAGCAGCCGCUGUAAUUC